GGGUGACGAGCGGCGGACGGGUGAGUAAUGUCUGGGAAACUGCCUGAUGGAGGGGGAUAACUACUGGAAACGGUAGCUAAUACCGCAUAACGUCGCAAGACCAAAGUGGGGGACCUUCGGGCCUCACGCCAUCAGAUGUGCCCAGAUGGGAUUAGCUAGUAGGUGGGGUAAUGGCUCACCUAGGCGACGAUCCCUAGCUGGUCUGAGAGGAUGACCAGCCACACUGGAACUGAGACACGGUCCAGACUCCUACGGGAGGCAGCAGUGGGGAAUAUUGCACAAUGGGCGCAAGCCUGAUGCAGCCAUGCCGCGUGUGUGAAGAAGGCCUUCGGGUUGUAAAGCACUUUCAGCGAGGAGGAAGGGUGAUGUCUUAAUACGGCAUCACAUUGACGUUACUCGCAGAAGAAGCACCGGCUAACUCCGUGCCAGCAGCCGCGGUAAUACGGAGGGUGCAAGCGUUAAUCGGAAUUACUGGGCGUAAAGCGCACGCAGGCGGUUUGUUAAGUCAGAUGUGAAAUCCCCGGGCUCAACCUGGGAACUGCAUUUGAAACUGGCAAGCUAGAGUCUCGUAGAGGGGGGUAGAAUUCCAGGUGUAGCGGUGAAAUGCGUAGAGAUCUGGAGGAAUACCGGUGGCGAAGGCGGCCCCCUGGACGAAGACUGACGCUCAGGUGCGAAAGCGUGGGGAGCAAACAGGAUUAGAUACCCUG
rnacentral:rRNA from 1 species